rnacentral:tRNA from 1 species
AGAGACUUAGGAUAGAUAGACCAAGGGCCUUCAAAGCCCUAAGCGGGAGUGAAACCCUCCCAGCCUCUG